AUUGAACGCUGGCGGAAUGCUUUACACAUGCAAGUCGAACGGCAGCACGGACUUCGGUCUGGUGGCGAGUGGCGAACGGGUGAGUAAUGUAUCGGAACGUGCCCAGUCGUGGGGGAUAACGUAGUGAAAAUUACGCUAAUACCGCAUACGAUCUAUGGAUGAAAGCGGGGGAUCGCAAGACCCCGCGCGAUUGGAGCGGCCGAUAUCAGAUUAGGUAGUUGGUGGGGUAAAGGCCCACAAAGCCAACGAUCUGUAGCUGGUCUGAGAGGACGACCAGCCACACUGGAACUGAGACACGGUCCAGACUCCUACGGGAGGCAGCAGUGGGGAACUUUGGACAAUGGGCGCAAGCCUGAUCCAGCCAUUCCGCGUGCAGGAUGAAGGCCCUCGGGUUGUAAACUGCUUUUGUACAGAACGAAAAGGUUUCUACUAAUACUAGGAGCUCAUGACGGUACUGUAAGAAUAAGCACCGGCUAACUACGUGCCAGCCGCCGCGGUAA
rnacentral:rRNA from 1 species